UUGGAGACAGUUUUAAUUGCAACAUGACGACCACAAGAAAAGCCCAGAAUCCUCAUAAAAGCACAGCAAAGUUGGCUGCAGGCCCACGGAGGAGAGCAAGCCACACCGUAAUUACAGACGUGAUGGAGAACUUGCAUAUGCUUUGGUGGAAGAGUGGAGGAACAUCUCACAGCAAGAACUGACAAAUUUGGUGCAGUGCAUGAGGAUGAGAUGCACUGUAGUACUUAAAGCAGCUGGAGGCUACCACAUACUGACUGUUACUUUUAAAAUUGCCCCCCCCUUUGUUCAUGGACUCAUUAUUCCAUUUCUGUUUAUCAAAUGUCUGUUAAAAUUCUUCAGUUUAUGUCUUAGUUGUUGAAAGUUUUUAUGUUAAUACAAAUAUUUACACAUGUUAAGAAACUUGC
ensembl:lncRNA